rnacentral:rRNA from 1 species
GGCUUCUUGUUCUUAUAAGAGGUCUGGCCUGCCCAGUGAAAUUUUUUAACGGCCGCGGUAUUUUGACCGUGCAAAGGUAGCAUAAUCAUUAGUCUUUUAAAAGGAGGCUGGAAUGAAAGGUUUAACGAGACAUUAUCUGUCUCAAUCUCUAUAAUUAAAAUUUAACUUUUGAGUUAAAAGGCUUAAAUUUUGUUGGAAGACGAGAAGACCCUAUAGAGCUUUAUGAUUAAAUUUUUGUUUUUUCAUUAUUAAUUUCCAUUAAUUUAAUUGUUUUGUUGGGGUGACAAAAAAUACAAGAAUAACUUUUUUAUUAUAAAUCCAUUUAUUUAUGUUUUAUUAGAUCCAUUAAUAUUGAUUAUUAGAAUAAGUUACCUUAGGGAUAACAGCGUAAUCUUCUUUGGGAGUUCUUAUUUACAAGAAGGAUUGCGACCUCGAUGUUGGAUUAAGAUUAUAUUUGGGUGCAGUAGCUCAUUGUUAUAGGUCUGUUCGACCUUUAAAUUCUUACAUGAUCUGAGUUCAGACCGG